CUGCCCUAGAUGGAACUGCGCAGCAGCUGGGGAAAGGCUGGAUGGAACCAGAAUCCCAGCAGCACAUUCCGGAGAUUAGAUGAGAGCUCGCAUUGAUCUUUGCAGUUUGGCUGGGCCAGUGAAAGCUAAAGACUGCAAGAGUAGUGGCACCAUGAUUAAUCUAGCUGUUGAGAUCUCCCAGAAAUAGAGGCAGUGGGCUGGGGGAUACAAGAGAGGACAGGAGUUUUUGUUUAGAGGGUGGGAGGAGAAAAGGAAAGAGCAGUCACUCAUCAGCUGAGGAUUCCCAUCCCCAAAAUCUCUCCCCAAAAUGUCAAAGGUGAGAAUGACUGGACAAGGGAUCUGGAAUUUGAACAUAGUUACCAGUCAAGAGGAAAAACAAUACUCUACCCUCUAGCCAAGGAAAGUAUUCCAAGCUUUAAAAAAAGCAUAGGAAAAAUUAUAUAUAUCCCAUGGACAGACUGUCUCAGAACUUCUCAAAUCCCUUAGUGUCGUGUUGUCACAAUACAAUCCACCCCAGAAGUGUCAGUCAUCAAAUAAACAACUACCACUCACCAAGUUUCAGCAAACAGUGUUGGUGCAAUGCAGGGUGGUUGCUGUUCUCUGCCCCAGAAGUAGCUGCAUUUCAGUGGUGCAGCCUGUGGGGAGUUGGGAAGACCCCUGGGAUUCUUUGAGAUGCUAUAGAAAGGAAAGAUCAUUGUUAGUAAAGGGACAAAAACUGAACAAUGUGCAAUAAGAAAAAAUAACUGAACAAGUGUGAAUGGUCCAAAUCCGUCAUGAUGUGGGGCAUCAUAAAAUUACAGAGGCACUGAAUGCAACACCGUGGUUAAAGUUGAAUUAAGAUUACACUGAAAGCAGAAAUUCAGCCUCUUUGAUAUGUAUGCAGAAUGCAGUGUAUCCUCCCCAAACUUACAGCACUUACUCCUUGAAUACAGAGCUAAUAUUUAAUAGCUUGGUUGGCUGAACCUCUGUCAUUAUGGGUUUGACCUUUAGCACAGCAGUCAAGAUGCUGGAGGUUUGAUUUCCAACUGGCUCUGGAGGAGUAAAAUGUGAAUUCACAGCAGCUUCAUGCUUCUUAUUUAUUUUCAACCUAGAGGCAUGUCAGGAACUAUUUUCAAAGAUUAAUCUGUAUUCAAGCUCGAUUAAGUGAGAAGCACCUGGAAUUUGCAUCAAUUUCCCCUUUAAAUUCAGAAUGAGAUUUUUUUGUGAAAUUUGGAAACAUUUCACGCCAUCCUCAACAGAAAAAAACAAACCUUACUAGAGGUUACAAGAAACCCAAAGAAGCCCUGGGUUCCCCACUUUUGCAGAGCAAUACAGACAUCCCAAACUUGUAUCAAUAAAAACUUUAUAGACCCCCUAAUGCUAUUCUACGUGGUCUUUUUAGGAUAGCUGGAUUCCAUGCUAACCUGGUUCAGGCAAAAUACAGUAAACACCAGCUCAGAACUUCUCCUGAACAAUCCCAUACUCUACCUCCCACAUACUGCACAUGUCAGUCCUAGACCCCACUUCCCAAUCCCACUGCUGCUUACUCCUGAUCUAUUACAGUACAACCUCCUGGCCCCACACACAAACUCCAACCUGAUCCUCAACCCCACCAUAGGCUCCCACUUCCAGUCUCUAGACUGCCUUCCACCCGAUGCAAUUACUGAUCCGGUGUUCGCAAAGGUGGUGUAAACAAACCAAGGAAUAACUGAGAAGUCUUUUAAUUAUUUAUAAUUUGUUUGCAGUGCGAUUUCCACGCAUCCAAGAAGGAAUGGUCUCUGCCCCAAGCAGCUUACAGUCUAAGGAGAGAGAAAUGUAGGGAACAAGGAACAGAUCCUGAGCUGGUGUAAACUGGCCCAGCCCUACACCCCAAAUAUUUCCUCUGUGUAACUGUACACGGCUGACUUUAAUACUUGACUUGAAAUUCUGGACCCUUUGACAUCAGUGGGGAUUGUGCCAUUGGCUUUGAUGGGACUAGGAUUUCGCCCCUGUUGGAUCCCCGUCUUUCAGUGCCCGCUCCACAAAAGCACGGUUUGCAGAGGGUGUAAUUUUCAGACUCUUAGGAGGGCUCCAGCUGUAAUGUCUGCAGGGGGCCACAUUGAAGUGUGGCUCAGCCCCAUCCAUUAUCCAGGGUGAUCUUUACAUAAAACAAAUCAGGGACUCUUCCUGCUCCUUCCCGCCCACUGUAGAAGUGGUUCCUCAAGGGCAGGAUGAUAGAAUGCUGGCAACUCAGGGCAGGAGGGAAAGAGGCCAGUCCUGCAGCCUGCCAGUUUUCUGUCCUGCCUGUGGAUAAAUAGGUGACUUCUGCUUCCUGGGUUUUCCAUCCAUGCCCUAACCCGCCCAUGGUGAAUUCGUCACUUUGUUUUAAAUGCAAAAGGGGAGCGAGGGAGAUUGAUAAAAGGCCUGCACAAAAGCGAGGGCGGGUGAUGAUAUCUGAGAGUUGUCAAAUCAUUCUGUCACCCCAUCCAGUCACUGUCACUGCAGCGUUGUUCCAUAUUUAGCUCCCAACAACUGCGUCUAGGACUGGAACUCCCAACUCCCUUUCCCACCCCACCCCCCCAUCUCUGCUCCCUGCACUGGUCUCGAAAAAUUGCUCCCUCUUUUUCCUUGUGGUCUGAACCCAGUGCACCAGCACCCGAGAGGAUGGCUGAAAACCAGGAGAAGCCCAGCGACACUCAUAAUGGUGAGGAGCAGCCUGAAAAUGCAGAGAAGCCUGAGGAGAAGAAGAAGGAGCUGGAGAAACUGCCGCCCUUUGAAAUCGUGAGAGGGGAGCGCUUCCCCGCCUUCUUUUUCAAAUUCCAGUUCAGGAACGUAGAAUACAGCUCAGGCAGGAACAAGACCUUCCUAUGUUACGUUGUGGAGAUCCAAGGCAAAGAGCCGGGGAGCUUUCAGGGGUAUCUGGAGGAUGAGCAUGCAGCAGCCCAUGCCGAAGAUGCUUUCUUCAACAACAUCUUGCCCACAUGCGAUCCCAACCUGCGCUACAACGUCACCUGGUAUGUCUCCUCCAGCCCCUGCGUGCCCUGUGCUGACCGGAUAGCCCAGGUACUGCAGAAGAACAAGAACCUACGCCUCUCCAUCCUGGUAAGCCGCCUCUUCAUGUGGGAGGAGCCGGAGAUGCAGGCUGCCCUGAAGAAGCUGAAGGCAUCUGGAUGCAAAUUGAAGAUUAUGAAGCCUCAAGACUUUGAGUAUAUCUGGCAGAACUUUGCAGAGCAGGAAGAAGGAGAGGCAAAGGCCUUCGAGCCCUGGGAGGACAUCCAAGAGAACUUCCUGUAUUACGAAGAGAAGUUAUCAGAGGUUCUGCACUGACACCCAUGACCGUGAGGAUUUCAGUUUGCUCAUUUAGCUUCUUGCUUUAAUGGCAGACAGACUCGUGUCACAUCUUAAGGCAGAAAGAGGCUUUUCAGGGUACUGUCACUGCCAUCUGUGACUCCAGCUUCCCCUCGGUCUGACAGUACAUGAGCAUCAUGAACUUCGCCUAGGGCCAGCUUGUAAGAGAUCUGUCACCCAGUGGAGAGACAGGCAUGACAGACUUGGACAUCUGGGACACGCCUUCAGAUUUUCAGAGCUGCUUUGAAUCAGGCAGAAUGCAACAAAAACCUUUAGCAGACAUGGCCCUGAUGGACUCGGACUACAUUUACCAUGUAGCAUUUAGGCAUUUUGUUUUUUAUUUUUAAAAUAAACUUGCACUGUCUUUGUUAGCAGGA